rnacentral:misc_RNA from 1 species
CCUUAGCCCCGAUUGGAGCAAUUGUUUGAGCUCAUUUUUUUGGUUUGGUUUCGGCCUCGUCUUCGACGAGGCCGAAACCAAACCAAAAAAAUAGCGAGUGUGGAAAGCGGGAAAUAGC